CAAGCAGUAGGAUAUUUUGGCCAAGGCCAACAAGCCCUAUGGUGGUACAUUCAUAGCAUCGGUUUAGACACAUAUUGAGAAUUCUCCAUGUGUUAUAGUUCAAAGGAGUCAACUUUCUGUUAAGGAUGCCUCUUGUUAAUGAUGGAUGACAUCACAGUGGGAUUGUCAGGACAAGGGAAUCAUAAAAACGCAAAUACUUCACUGGCAUAAUAUAUC